AAAGAAGUAAAAUGCUUCUUUCUUCCCUGCUCCCUUUCCAUCUUUCUUUGCUAGGAAUUCAACCUAGCUUGCGCCACCCUGAAGGAUCAUCGGUGCCACGCACCUCCACCCCACCGCCGGUUCACAGAUCAAGACCAGAUAUAGCUGCGAAAAUCUCGGAAUCGAGAGGCGUGGCGGAGUGGGACGCUGGUGAGAGGCGUGCGGCGCGAGGACUCAUGCAACAACUUUGAGUCUCUGUUCGUUUGGGCCUUGUUUGGGUCUAUUUUUGUGCCUAUUUUUCUUGUAUUGGAUCAUGGCAUGAAUUUGGUCCUACACACACCACACAAGGAAAAAACGUUAUGUUUAGAACGAUUACCAUUGGAGCAUCGGAUUCUUGGGUUGUUCUAAUUUUAGGAUGUCUUAGAAAGUAUGGCGUGGAGGCUUAGAUACAAACGAUCCACUUGUACUUAAAACCUCUAUUGCCAAAAUGUUUAACUGGGUAUAACUUUCAUGUAACUGUCAUUAUACCCAUUAUCUAUAUAAUUGACCUCCAUAUUCCCAUGUUCAAGUAAUCCCUCUUAAUCCUAAUACCCACUAUUUUAGCUUCUUUUCAUAA